GAAUGUGAGGGCGACCUGGCUGCAACAUCGGUCACCCCAUUGCUCACCAGGGUUGAUUCCACUGCUCUGGCUGGCCAGGUGGGUGUCCUCUUCCUCCCUCACCACUCUAUGUGCGUCCUUCCAGAAGCUGCGCUCUUGGUUGAAGAGAUCAGCCUUCCCCGAAUAGAGAUGGACCGGUCGUGGGUCAAGGGUAUAUUAUGAGUAGCUGCACUCCCCUGCUAGAACCUCCAAACAAGCUUUCAAGUAGUUUACACUUUGUAUUUUUGAUUAGUGAUUUGAUAUUGAUUUACAAAACUAUAAGAUAACAGGGGCAUAAUUCCAGACCUUUUCCACCACCAGAAUUCUGUGUCCCU
ensembl:misc_RNA 7SK 7SK RNA